rnacentral:rRNA from 1 species
AACGAACGCUGGCGGCAUGCCUAACACAUGCAAGUCGAACGAUCCCUUCGGGGUGAGUGGCGCACGGGUGCGUAACGCGUGGGAACCUGCCCUUAGGUUCGGAAUAACACAGAGAAAUUUGUGCUAAUACCGGAUAAUGUCUUCGGACCAAAGAUUUAUCGCCUUUGGAUGGGCCCGCGUAGGAUUAGCUAGUUGGUGAGGUAAAGGCUCACAAAGGCGACGAUCCUUAGCUGGUCUUAGAGGAUGAUCAGCCACACUGGGACUGGGACACGGCUCAGACUCCGACGGGAGACAGCGGUGGGGAAUAUUGGACAAUGCGUGAAAGCCUGAUCCAGCAAUGCCGCGGGAGGGAUGAAGGACUUAGGGUUGUAAAGCUCUUUUGUUUGGCCACAUGGCCGAAAGAAUAAGCACCUGCUAACCACGUGCCAGCCGCCGCCGUAA